GGGGGAGCGCCGCGCCGCGCAGCGCUGCGCUGCGCCGCCGGGCUUUCCGCGCGCCUCUGGCUCUCGCGCGUGGGGUGGGGCCGCGCGUCCUGAGGCGUUCGCGUGGCUCGCUCCGCCCCGCGAGCGGUCUGUUGUGCGGGCGUUCCGCGUGGCCCUUCGUCUGUCGCUUCUUCUGCCCUCGCUCGGAAACGGGGGUGCAACGCCAGCCUGUUGUAUGCUGGCAGCUCUGUGGACACCGGCGUUCCUCUGCGUUUGGGGACGAGGUCGCAGAGAGAAGCUGUAAACGUCUGCUGCUGGCCCCAGAGUCAGCACAAGCAGAAAACCCAGUGUUAGGUAAUUCCAGGGGUACUCAUCCUCCUGACCUGGAAGUCUGGGACAAGGAGCAGAAGAACACCCCACAGUUCAGGUGGAAACAGUUAAGAGACCAGCUGCUCCACCUGGACUGUCGCAAGUCCAUUGGGCCAGAUGGGAUCCACCUGAGGGUGCUGAGGGAGUUGGAGGAUGUGAUUGCUGUGCCACUUUCCAUCAUCUAUCAGCAGUCAUGAUCAACCAGAGAGGUCCCAGGUGACUGGAGAUUUGCUAAUGUGACGCCCAUCUAUAAGAAGGGUUGUAAGGAGGACCCGGGGAACUGCAGGCCUGUCAGCCUGACCAUGGUGCCAGGAAAGGUACCAGGGCAAGAACCUGCACAUGCAUGCUGAUUCUGCUUGGUGACAGUGGAUGACUAAGAAACCGCCUUUACUUGGUUACAGUGUGUCCAGACAUGUUCUUGAUCCUCUCAACAAUCAGAAGCAUGAUUCCCAGCCUUUCACCAAACUUCCCAGGUUAGAAAACAGCGGAGUUGUUCCUCCAGCAUGUGGACAGUGCUUGUGUUUUCUGGAAUGCCAGUACCCGAUUCUCUGAUGGAUAUAGAUUUGGACUCGAUACUGAAGUUGGUGUUAGUACUUCUCGUAUCCAAGCACGAGGACCAGUGGGAACUGAAGGACUCUUCACUACAAAGUGGUUAUGAGAGGGGACAAUCAUGUUGUUUCUGACUUUUCAGAGCAUGGGAGCAUGAAGUGUCCUCAUGAGAGCCUACCUCUCCCUCAGGGAAAUACCAACUGAGUACUUUUUGAGAAAAUGCAGGGGUAAAAUGUGUAUUGAAGACGUUCGGGCUUCAGGGUGCUCCCUGUGGGGAGAGAUUUGUUUUUCCUCUCCGGGGGCAUUGUUCUUGGUCACUGUGCAGUACAAUGAAUAUGAAGUGAUCCUAUCUGUGACAAACAUUAUUUGUUGCUGUUUCCUUAGAUAGCAUCUGAUAGCAAACUGACCUUGCUUUUGCCAGAGAGGUUUCUUCAAAACAUACAGAUACCAUAAGGAGAAGUUUAAACACAUGCUGCAUUCUUUUCCUCCCUUUGCUCCCCGCCAGCAAAGAUGCCUGGUGGUAGAGUGUAAGUUUUUUUUUCCUGUCUUUACUUUGAACAUCUGUCUUGGUGAACAAACUUGGUAGCUUUUCUUUGCUCGUGUGAUCAUGGCAGCUCUUGAAAGCUCUAAAGCUUUAAGACACUUACUGUCUUUGUUUGAUCGCUCUGCGAUUCCUAUGCAUUUGAAACACGUAUUUCAUUAAUGUUUUGACCAAAAAACCUUUUUUAUCUAAUUUCUCUGUAUUUUUGACAACUGUAGAUAAAUAGCGCAAGUGUGUUUAGUAUGAAUAUUGUUAUCUAUGUCUACCAGACAUUUAUUUGUCGUGGGUUUUAUAUGAAAUGUAAUCCCUCUACUUUGAAGUUUAAAAUAAGCCCUGAAUAAAUGCUUCCUUUUGCAUACUGGAAGAAGUGAGCUCACAUGUGCAUGCUGCAGUGGGGGGCUCAGUGCAGCCCUCCAUAGGUCAGGGUGGUUGGAGUGUCAAGGUGGGUGGGGAGGGAGUGGAAUGGUGCCAUGCUGCAAAUGCUGGCAGGGCAGGGAGAGGGAUGUGUGCAGGCUGCACGGGGACAUCCUCUCCUGUGCAUCCGUUUCUUGCUGCUAACUUGCCUCUGCAUGCUUUGUUGACUGCUGGCAUGUGUGUGGUCCUCAGGAGCUGACAUAGUGGCACACAGGGCUUGUCUAGGCAUCUGGGUGUCUGCUGGGUAGCCAUGUUACCCCCACUCACCCAUUUUGGACCGUUGCACUCUACUCUGGAACCCUGAGAAACCCAUUAUGCCCCACACUCCUCUUGUGCUUUGAUGCUCUCCUGAGACUUUGUGACAACUGCUUGCGCUGAACCUGCACAGCAUUGCAACCACAACUGGUACUGCCCAUCAGUGACAAAAGCACUGCACCCAGGGAUGGAUGGACAGGCAGAAGGACACUGCUUGAUGCAUUGCCCGCCAGGGGAAGGGGAGUCGCUGUGUGUCCGUGGGUCUAG